CUUCACCGAGCCGACCCACAACGGCCGCCCCUCUGCGCGUCCCUGGCCGUAGGUGGCCAGCAGCGCCUGGGCCUC
rnacentral:antisense_RNA from 2 species